UCGGCUCCUUUUUUUUCGGAUGCUCUUUUCAUAAAGAUUUUUCGGGUUUCUUUUUCCUUGAUUUCUUUCCUCCUCCUGUACCUUAGAUGAAAAUGGCUACCAGUGACUUGGCGAGCGUUGGGAAGGCAGAUCUGGCAGGCUGUGCCGGAGGGGGGGCCCGGAGGACGGGGAGCUGCGACGCCCAUCACGGUCGCCCACGCCGGGCAGCGGCUGCUCGGGGAGCGGGCAGGAAUCGGGCAAAACCGGGCAGAAAUCGGGCAAAACCGGGCAGGAUCCGCCGCGCUGCGAACUCCCUGGGCGAGUAAAAAUGGUGCCGCGGAGCGUGCGGAUGCUGCGGCGGACACUGCGCUCCCGAGUAGGGAUUAUCCACUUCUUUUUUUUUUUUUCCUUUUUUUUUUUUUUUUCUUAAUUAUUAUUUAUUUUUGUUGUCAUGCCACAGAUCUUCAACUGUACUUGCAAAUAAAAGCGAGAGCUCACGGAUACCGCUUUCCUUCCA